CACCGGAGCUAUUAGCUGUCUAGAAGAAUGUUAACCAGUACAAUGAGUUUGCGAGGUUAACAAGGUCUCGUGUGUCCUUCUCUCCCUGCCUGUCGCAGGCUGGUUUGCGCCAUUCCUGCGUCGUUUGGUGUUGAGCCUUAUGAUUCCUACCCUUAUCCUGGGAAAGUACCUGGGACGCAAAGAAGGGCUAAGCUUCCGGCUACCAAAAAGGAAACCUAUAUGGCCUAAAAUCAGAGCCUGAAGCCUGGUAGAUUUGAAUCCCCUGGUCUCCAUUUAGUGUUACGUUUCGUCAAAGGUACACGAGUGUAGCGCUAGGACCUGAGUAACUGUAUAACUGAGCUACCGAAGGACGGGUUAAUGUGAGAAUCUACGAAAAUCAAGAGUGUGUCUAUUUUGUCGAGCUACUAAGGCCAAGCAACUUCGCAAUUGAGUUUUUCAGCAAUGUCUAACCAUUACCUCAACAAAUCACCCA